rnacentral:rRNA from 1 species
GACGAACGCUGGCGGCGUGCCUAAUACAUGCAAGUUGAGCGAUGAAGAUUGGUGCUUGCACCAAUUUGAAGAGCAGCGAACGGGUGAGUAACGCGUGGGGAAUCUGCCUUUGAGCGGGGGACAACAUUUGGAAACGAAUGCUAAUACUGCAUAACAACUUUAAACAUAAGAUUUAAGUUUGAAAGAUGCAAUUGCCUCACUCAAAGAUGAUCCCGCGUUGUAUUAGCUAGUUGGUGAGGUAAAGGCUCACCAAGGCGGUGAUACAUAGCCGACCUGAGAGGGUGAUCGGCCACAUUGGGACUGGGAAACGGCCCAAACUCCUACGGGAGGCAGCAGGAGGGAAUCUUCGGCAAUGGACGAAAGUCUGACCGAGCAACGCCGCGUGAGUGAAGAAGGUUUUCGGAUCGUAAAACUCUGUUGGUAGAGAAGAACGUUGGUGAGAGUGGAAAGCUCAUCAAGUGACGGUAACUACCCAGAAAGGGACGGCUAACUACGUG